rnacentral:lncRNA from 1 species
ACGUCUCAGUUGACAUUUCUAUAAACUAAAGAAGAGUUAAGCUAAAAUCAUUCAAACCAAGUACACAGUAAAACUAUUUGGAAAUAAGUAAUUUGCUUUAUCAAUAAGUUCUGAAUCUGCACACUGUUGAUUUCUUCCGGUACACCUGUACUUGAUGCUGGAUUUUCUGACUCUAGCUAUUAUACCUCAAGACAACAAAUGAUAAACAUGGAAUGUAUUUGAACAAAGAGGACACGGAACUCGGUAAAAAGUUCCCAACAGAACAGUGCAGUACAAUCUAAAUAAACUUUUUCAGUAUAUACAACCAUAUAUUUUUCAGUAGAGGGAUAGGAAGCGCUCGAGAAGCACCUUACAAGCAUUUAUUUUGCAUGGCGAUAACUCUUUCCAAAUUGUUCAACUUGAAAUCUUCCUUCCAUAGGUGCAAAACCAAAAAUCAUCCCACCUAAAUUGUAAAGGAAACAGAAACGCAGUCAAUUUCUUGUUAAUCGUACUGUUAUUUUACAGGACUCAUAUGCAUUGUGUCGUGUCUUCAAGAAAAAUGUGGCACUCGGAGAGUUCCAGAAGCAAAAGCAAGGCGAGUGCAGCUCAUCACAAGCUAAUGAAAAACAAGAACAGUUUACAAGUGUCAGGGAUGCUGGACAGUCAUCUGGUUCAAAUGAGCAUGGUAAAGACAACACAUGGAUGCAGUUCAUAGCUGAUGAUCUAUGGUGCAACAAAACAAAGUGAUGGAAGUAUGGAACUGAUAAGGCAGUUGUUUAACUUCAUCUAACUAGAAACCUCUCAGUUGCACAUUGACUUUGUAUAUGUUUGAUAACAUCAGUUCUCGGUUCUCACUUUGGAGUUUGGACAGGAUGACCACUAAGUUUGGGGGCUCUGACUCUUCAUGUAGAGUUAUAGUUUUCUCUUUUGGUACUGUAAUAGAAAAAACAUCCUACUUUGGUACUUCAAGGUUCGGUCUUCCUGUAUCUGUCAUUAAACACAGUGAUUUAUAGGAGGGAGUACAGUACAAAGACAUAAAUUUAAUUUGACACAUAUCAUUUAUUUACAUAUUCCUUUCAUAUGCAGUUGCAGAUAUCACUUUACAGUAAAGGUCACCAAAGUUGUCAAUCCCCUAUGACCAGUAAGCUAUACCUAGACCCAAGGAUAGUUAUUUUUAUUAGACAUACACAUUUUCUUUGCAAUUCCCUGGCACUCUACUCUAAUGAAAUAGCACAAGUGCAGAACUACUGCCAAAGUUUCAAAAAAAAAAAAAGCAUAAACAGUGGCACCACAGAAUGGAGUGUUGUACAGUUCAGAAGAAGUGAAGAACCAAUUGGUUUCGAAUCUCAAGUAUGAGUUUCUUGAUUUAGACCAGAAACAGUAUGGUAUGAGCAUGAUACUGAAUCAACAUUGCUAAUGUCUAGGGACUUCUGAGUUGUAAAUCAGUAGUACAAGAGUAGUACUAGACUGGUAGAAUAUAAUAGUUUCACUAGCACCACAGCAUCAGGAGUUUGGGUCAGCAAAGCUUCAAUACGCUAAACUGCACAAUUUUGCAUUUUCCAGAGCAUAUAGAGCUCACGUCUUCUAUGGCAAAUUCAGAAUUUAGUUUCAUAUAACAGCAAGAUUCAGUAACAUGGCCCAAGUUUUUUAUACCUUUAGUUCCAUUGCUUUGAAAUCUCAUCAUUCGUCUCUACAAAGCUUUGCUUCUGGAUGCAUUCGCUUUAUCUUGGUAUUCCAUCAGCUUGCUGGCACAGUUAAAGAAGUUUGUUUAGGUACUCUAGCUAAGAAGACAUUAUGUCAGACUGAAACCAAUUCCACAAUGGUGUCAAGCUCUCAAUGAUCAGGUUUAAGCCAAACACAACGUCAAAACUCCACUAAUUGCAUUCAUAGAAAAAAAGAACACUCUGAAACAACUGACAAACCAGAGUGUGUGAUAACCACAAAAGUUCCAUGGAUACAAAGCUGGUCUGAGCCUGACGAGUGACGAAAGCCACCCACGGGAAACAACCACCCACAAGAAGAUUAAUCCCAGCAGCUUUUCAGCAUCGAUAAAUCACUGAAACGAAAGCCAUGAUAAGGACGUGCAAAAGUUAGUGAAAUCGUUACCGAAAGAGCAGGCAAGCGAAAUCCGAGCCCUAGACUCAGAAGACAAUCCCAAUUCCCAAGCAAGGCUGCAGCUGCUACUCCUCGCGCCGCAUACCAUUGCCGUAGGAUCGGAAUCGCGGACCCAUCGAACCGACACCAAGCAGACAAGGGACUGAAGGGAGCGCCCGAGCGAUGGAGGCCGGAGCGCGUGCACCGCCUGGAGCAGACAACAGAAUCAAUGGGAUUAGGCCGGA